rnacentral:rRNA from 1 species
CCAAUAGCGUAUAUUAAAGUUGUUGCAGUUAAAAAGCUCGUAGUUGAAUUUCGGGAUCAAUCUAUCGGUCGUGCAAUAGUACGUACUGAUUUUAUUGAUUCCUCUCUUCUGAUGAACUAUGAUGUCAUUAAUUUGGUGUCAUAGGGAAUCAGGACUGUUACUUUGAAAAAAUUAGAGUGUUUAAAGCAGGCUCACGCUUGAAUACAUUAGCAUGGAAUAACGAAAUAGGACGUUUGAUUCUAUUUUGUUGGUUUCUAGGAUCGACGUAAUGAUUAAUAGGGGUAGUUGGGGGAAUUAGUAUUCAAUUGUCAGAGGUGAAAUUCUUGGAUUUAUUGAAGACUAACUACUGCGAAAGCAUUUGCCAAGGGUGUUUUCAUUAAUCAAGAACGAAAGUUAGGGGAUCGAAGACGAUCAGAUACCGUCGUAGUCUUAACCAUAAACUAUGCCGACUAGGGAUCGGAUGAUGUUAAUUUUUUAAUGACUCAUUCGGCGCCUUACG